rnacentral:RNase_P_RNA from 2 species
GGCAGAGAGAGCCCAGUUCCCGUGCCCGAGACGGGCAUGAGGAAAGUCCCCCCACCGUCCGAACGGGUGACCGGGCGCAAGCCCGGAGUCGGAGACGGCUGGCGCUGGAACAGAAACGAGACCGCUCGACCCGACCGAUGAUGCGCGCGCGACGGCUCCGCCGUCGCCGGCGCGGCCGUCACGGCCGCGUGCGAACCGACCCGUAAGGGAAGGGAGCUAACCCGCAGAGGGAUGAGGUGGCGUCGCCAUCUCCGACGGUCGAGAACGGAUGGAACGGCGAAUCCUCACCGGUGCAAGUCCGCGCCGCGAAGGGUAGUUCGGACGGCGCGUCGGGUUCGCCCGUCGCGCCCUCGGGGGGCUCGCCCCGAGAAGGACGCGGACGCUGAGCCGAAUGCUGGGACGAACAGAAGGGGGCUUACUCCUCUCAGCCGCUU